rnacentral:rRNA from 1 species
CCCUAUUAUAUUUACAAUUAUAUAUUAUUAUGAGGUAGUAUAUGUUAAAUUCAGGAAACUUAAAGAAUUUGGCGGUGUUUAUUCAUAUUAGAGGAAUAUGUUUUAUAAAUGAUAGUCCCCAAAAAUCUUACUUAAUUUAGGUAUUUUGUAUAUCUCCGUCUUAAAAAAUUUUUUAAAAAUAUAUUUUAAAUAGCUUUAAGGUUAAAAGUCAGGUCAAGGUGCAGAUUAUAAUUAAGAAAAAAUGUAUUACAAUAAAAUUAUUUGUGGAAUUAUUAUGAAUUGUAUAGUAAGGAAAUUGGAUUUAAUAGUAAAAGUUUUUUUAUAAUAAACUUUGAAUUUAGUAAAUAAAUAUGCACACAUCGCCC